GAUGAACGCUGGCGGCGUGCCUAAUACAUGCAAGUCGAGCGAACAGACGAGGAGCUUGCUCCUCUGACGUUAGCGGCGGACGGGUGAGUAACACGUGGAUAACCUACCUAUAAGACUGGGAUAACUUCGGGAAACCGGAGCUAAUACCGGAUAACAUGUUGAACCGCAUGGUUCAACAGUGAAAGACGGUCUUGCUGUCACUUAUAGAUGGAUCCGCGCCGCAUUAGCUAGUUGGUAAGGUAACGGCUUACCAAGGCAAGGAUGCGUAGCCGACCUGAGAGGGUGAUCGGCCACACUGGAACUGAGACACGGUCCAGACUCCUACGGGAGGCAGCAGUAGGGAAUCUGCCGCAAUGGGCGAAAGCCUGACGGAGCAACGCCGCGUGAGUGAAGAAGGUCUUCGGAUCGUAAAACUCUGUUAUUAGGGAAGAACAAAUGUGUAAGUAACUAUGCACGUCUUGACGGUACCUAAUCAGAAAGCCACGGCUAACUACGUG
rnacentral:rRNA from 1 species